AUUGAACGCUGGCGGCAUGCCUUACACAUGCAAGUCGAACGGUAACGCGGGGCAACCUGGCGACGAGUGGCGAACGGGUGAGUAAUGUAUCGGAACGUGCCCAGUUGUGGGGGAUAACUGCUCGAAAGAGCAGCUAAUACCGCAUACGACCUGAGGGUGAAAGCGGGGGAUCGCAAGACCUCGCGCAAUUGGAGCGGCCGAUAUCAGAUUAGGUAGUUGGUGGGGUAAAGGCUCACCAAGCCAACGAUCUGUAGCUGGUCUGAGAGGACGACCAGCCACUCUGGGACUGAGAAACGGCUCAGACUCCUACGGGAGGCAGCAGUGGGGAAUAUUGGACAAUGGGCGAAAGCCUGAUUCAGCAACGCCGUGUGUGUGAAGAAGGCCUUCGGGUUGUAAAGCACUUUUAGUUGGGAAGAAAAGCUCAAGGUUAAUACCGUUGAGUGAUGACGUUACCAACAGAAAAAGCACUGGCUAACUCUGUGCCAGCAGCCGCCGUAACAC
rnacentral:rRNA from 1 species